GUCCCGCUGUGGUUUCUUGCUCUCUCCCUCGGCUCGAAGUGCACGCCGCCAUGGCCGAGAUCUCCGAAGAAGCCCAGGAACAGCAGUACACCUCUUUCUCCUCCUCCUCUUCCUCUCCAAUCGCCGCCCCGGAGGUCGAUCCCGACGAGGAGUCUUUGGCCUCGGUUCUCGCCAAGAAGAGCCCGAUGCCCUUCCUCGAGGCUGCCAACGCCGAGAAGUGGGUCAAGGAUGCGGCCCAGAGGACAGAGUCGGACGCGCCGCCCAACGAUCUAAGUCAUCAGACAAGGCGGCGACCAAGGCCGAGCAGAUUUGAGCAGUGGCAGAAAGUGAUGAUAUGUAGAAGCAAGAAAUUCUGAAAAAGAUAGCACCCAUAAAUUGACUUUUCAAGAGCAAAAAGAGCCCUGUUGGAGAAUUUGGAAGAGGUGUUUUGCGCAGCAAGUGUUAUCUGGUCUUAAGACUAGAUUGAUUUGUACCUGAGGGGAGAUGUUAAAGAAUAUGAACUUUUCUAGCAGCUUAAACAUGUGAAGGCUCCGUGGUUGGAGUCUUUCUGCCUUAUUACAAGUGUUUAGCCGAUAACCAAUUGCAGGUGUUGGCAUAAGAAAGGUCUGCGGAAUGGACCCAAGGCUCGAAAACCUGUUCCAGCGAUUGUCCGUUGCAAGAUAGCGUAUCGCUUGCUUAAAUGUUAAGAAUGGGCUGAGGCAGUGGAAAGUUUAGAAGACGUUGGGCAGAACUUUUGUUAGCAUAUAUGUAGUUGUGUAUAAGCUACGUUGCAUCUAAUGAAAUGUGACUAUGAAUCUAAACCUGUGGAUUUUGUGUAAGUUAAAGGAUCCCUCAUGUAUAGGGUUUUGGAAUGUUAAAUUAAAUUCGUGUAAUGAUAUGAACUUAUGGUAAAUCGAUGAUUGUGGUGACUGCAUAGAUUUCCCCACUUGUGGAUUUACAUUGUGGUUUUUAUUUUGAUGAGUUGAGUUCAGAUUGUAUAAAUUAUCGAGUGAUGUGUGCUAUGUUUAUGAAUUGCACAGGGUUAUGAAUUGAUAGAUUAUAGAAGUGAAAUUUUUGAUCUGAAUGUUUUCUUAGUGACCUCAAAUGUUUAUGAAUUGCUGCAGGUGGGCUCCCCCUUCGGGCGCUGUUGCCUCCGCAGGCGGUGCUGUCCCGCCGGGCGGCCACCCCUGUGGGGGGGGGGUUUCGCCCGCGGGAGCAGCGGCGGCAGGCGCCGCUGCCCUGCGGCGCCUCUGCCCGUGGGCUGCCAGCCCCGCCGGCAGCAAGCCUGCUGCAAGCAGGCUGCCGGCCAGCUGCUGCAGGCACAGCGCUUGCGCCGGCGCUGUGCUGCCUGGCUGCGGCUGCCGUUGCAGGCAUGCAGAUCGAGGGCAGCAACUGUUGCUGCCCUUCCUCGUUUUUGCGUCAACGAUUUUGACGUCAAUAUUCUUCCUAAACACAACACACGCAGUUCAAAACCAAUCAUUCGCACGAACAACCUGGCUCUGAUACCACUGUUGGGAAAUCAUGGGGGCGACAUCACAUGCGCAGCGGAAGAACAAGAAAACAAAAUCCCCGAUUUCCAAAGAGAUGUUCGUCGUCGUGCAAAGAUUGGUACGCAAAAAUCCGCGAAACAUGAAACUGCGUAUAGAUUGUGUUACCUAGGGAGAUCGUAUAUCCCUGUUUCCUUGCAGAUCCUUAGGAGAGGGUGAAGGAGGUCAAGCGUCCUCCUCUCUAGCGGUGAUCCACACAGCAGGGUUGCGACGACGCUCCUCAAGACUCCAGGCCUGCUCUGAGGUGGAGAGGAAGAGGAGAAUAGGAAAGGCAAGCAAAGACUCUAGCCUAUGAGGCUGUGAAUCCCUCCUAUUUAUAGAGAUCCCGUGUCAAACCCUAAUGGGUCCUUCCCUAGUGGGUAUUGGAUCUGCAUCUAAUAAGACAAGGGCUCCGUCGGAUAUCUCAUAUCCGAACCUCUACUCAUCGCAAUGCCUACCAUAUGUGUGUGACCCUCUAGGCCCAAUAUCGAGCUGGUCGUGAGUCAUACCUGUCAGAACUCCUUCUAACUCAGUGAAUUAUUAUCUCUAUAAUAAUUCACUCGACUCAUCGACUACGGACGUACUAGGCCACUACGCCGUAGUCCCCAGACGAUACAGGGGAAUCCAAUCCAUUGGACCUGUCUGUCCUCAGUUACCAUGUACUUUUAGUCCCUCAUCCAUCUAAUAUCCCAGAGACCAUAUAUCGAGCAUGGUGCUGUCAGACCCAUAUGGUUUCUACUCGAGUCUCGCUCUAAUUGGAUUCUCCCGGAGAACUCUUUCUCUCUCAACCCGAAUGACCCUGGCCAGGGAUUUGUCUGAGCAAGAACACAUGGGAUAUUCCUCUCAUGACGCCGAGAGUGGAUGAUCCUCUAUCGACACUCAAUAGCCCUCGUAAGGUCGACUAUCACUCCCAAUGACCAGCUGUACUAGAUCUGGGACAGCCAAACCUAUAAGUCUGGUAUCAAAGAGUGGAGCACUCAUACAGGACAUCCUUGGUGUCUCAAGUCUAAGGACCAGAUACACCACUAGGACUACGGAAUUGCUGUCUGACAAUAAGGCAUCAUCAACCAUCCAGCAUUCUGUAAGCGGAUCAAUCAGUGAACUUAUUCUCCAAUGAGCACCUGUACUGUAUCCCUAGUGUCCCUACACGAGCAGCUAUGAGACCAGCUGCAUCUAUCAUAUGGACGGGUAUACAACACACCAGUCUAUCCGGUUAUCACGAUGUCCCUCUCGAGUAACCUAUGACCGGGAUUAUUUAGGAUAUGUGUUUGAAGGUGAAUCGAUCUCAUUAUCGUGAUCUCAUCACGAUCCGAUUCCCAUUGCACAAAUCCAAGGACAUCAUAAUAUAUAUAUGCAUUUAUGCAAUAGUUAUAAAGUGAUAUACGCCAAAAUAUAAUAAGCAAAAAGAUUCUGUAUCAAGUCACACGUGCCAUCACUCACGUGAUUGACUUGUUGGGCACCUAUGACUAGCAAGAAAAGCAGAAGCUAUCUUAUGUCUACCUUGUAUCUGAUCAUUGCCGGAUAAUGUCUUAUCUUGUUUAGAUCUUUGCUGCAUAGGGCUCGGAACAUGUCAGUUGUUUGUUUUUUUGUUUGCUUCUGUUGACACCUGGUUCUGAAUGAGAAAAUCGUCACUUUAUAUAACCUUGCAGGAGUUGUGGUUGCGUUAAGUUGCCACACUACUGCUGCAGUGGUGACAGUGGAAACAGUGGUGCUUCAAGCUCAUGAAAGAAAUUCAUACUAGUGAUAACACUAAUCUUGCUAAAGGAUGAUCUUCUUGUCUUUGUUUUCUUUGCUGCUGGUUUUAUUUUAUCAGCUGCAGCAUUGCAGCUGUUGUCCUAUCUAGAUAUGGGAUUUCAUCGGGUUCUAGUUUGUGAAACAACCUGAAAAUCAUCUUUUCAUGCUUCCAAGGAAUGUAAUGCUGUAUCUUCAGAUGCAUACGGUACAAAUUUCAAUUUUUACAUGUGAUUAAAGUUCUUGCUGCUUGUCAAAUGACACCCAUGUGUCCUGGAGGCACUUAUCUAUAUCCCAAAUUACAUGGAAAUGGCUCGAUGAACUUAGCUCUGGGCUAUUUCAUGAGAUUUGAGGUGGAAUCAAGGGCAGAGUGAAUUGAAGCAAUGAAUUACAACUUCCUAAGUGGAACCACCAACCUUCUGGUUAAAGACAGAUGCAGUUCGGAGGUACACAGCCUUUUUAUCAUCCCUCACAUAAUGAGAUAUGAUUUUGUCAAUGAACCGCUCUGGUAUUCCUUUUCAUUGUUAUUCAUUUUCAGUGCAUUUCUAAGUGUGAGUCAUCUUGGAAUAGAUCAACUUCAGUUUAUAGAUCACUAAGCAUAUUGUUCUCACCUGAGCUCAGUGACUAAAGAUUAUAGAUCAUAACAAGGAUCCUUGCUUCAUUUUUGAGUUGUUUAUUGUGUGCAACAUCCUAUAAAGGUGACAUAGCUAUCCAGAACACACAAAAUUUCUUUGGUUUAUCUUCAAAACAAGCAGCAAAUUCCUCUUCCAGGUUGGGCACAAAGCAUCAAACAACAGACUGAUGCCACUUUUUGAAAGAGAUGUUUUCAGGUGCAAGUUUUUUUUAUACCGAGUAUCAAGUUGUGGGUUGCCUCUUGUCACUUCUCAAAUGCACUACUUCAUUCUUUAAUAUAUAUCUUGUGUUUUCUUAUUGAAAGUAAAAAAAGAUCAGGUGGACUUGUUGAUGGAUGAACGUAAGGGCAUGAAGACAACAGCUGGUUUUUAAGUAUAUGUGAUGAUCCAACCUACCCAGAUAUGCCACAAAGAUAUGGCCAACGGCUCUUGGUGAUUAGAGUUGGAUGUUGUCUUCAUCAGAAGCCAGACAUGGAGAAUCUAUCCAAAGUAUGGACGCACGGUUUUGUCACCAAACAAAGCCUAUUGGGAAGCUGGAUAUGAAGCUUACUCGGUGAUUUCACGUGCAAGAUUGUCAUGUUAGAUUGCACUGUCAGAGAAAAUGUGUUAAUUGCUGUUAUUUUAGACUUGUCAGUGUUAUACUGAUAGAAAAUGUGGGCUGCGAUGACUCCGGGAAGAAAAGUGUUAUAAGAGAUUCCAAGUGUGCUUGAAUCUGUUAAAACUAGGGCAAGUACGCCAGUGUUGUUUUUGUUUUCUCAUAUACAUAAUAAGAAAAUGCAAUAAUACAAAUGAAUCUAUUUGUAUUAGACCUA